GGGCGUCCGGCGUGUGCGCCUUCCGCUGCUUAGCUGCGGGUGUUCGGAACUUGAGGCAGCGCUGGCGGCUUGUUUUGAAGUGUUUGUGUUCGGGUAGGCCUUAAGAAGGGACAGCAGCGGUUUUGUUUUCUGGAACUUAAUCUCUGCGUCUCCACUCUAUCAAGUGAUUCCCUUCUCUCCCACGUCUUUCAGAAACAUUUGAAAGCUAUAAUUUGUUUCAUAAAAUAAGGCUUUCAUUAAAUGAAAUUUCAGCAUCGUGAACUAGGGGAAUGUGGUAUGAUGCUGCUUCUGUUGUGAAUUUAAUCUUCCUGAGAAGUCCAGCAGCCCUAGGGCUGAAGGUGCUCAAGGCAGGUGGCCAUCCUUCCUGUCUGAAUGGUGACGGGCUUUCUCCAGGCUGGCGAGAAUGUUGUUCCAUAGGACCAUCCAGUCAAGGAGGACACGCGAAGGGACCUUCCACCAUUCUCUUCUAAGACAAAGCUUAGCAAAUUGCUACUGAUUCUAAUACUGGGCAAGUACGCCUACAAAAACUGGAACCCUACAGGAAACGCCACCGAUGCCAAUGUGUAACGUUAUCUAGAACACCUUUUUUUGUUUGUUUUGGUUUUGCUGGUUGAGUUUUGGGGGAUUUUGUUCUUUUUUUUGUUUGUUUUAAAUCUGUCAGGCGUGAUCCACUUGGGAAUGCUAAGGACUGCAGAUCAGUGAACUGGCUGGUUAUGAACAACAAUGUAUAGAACCAGACUGCUAGACUAAAAAGGAAGUGAAGAUGGGGUAAGCAAAAUCAGCUUUCGCGUUGGAUAAUUCAUGCAACUUGGCUCUUCAGGAACCAGCCUAAACCAGUCUGACUUGCAUCCCAAACAGGGGCUUACCUAUAAAUAUAUUCAGAACUUUAUAGGUACUGCCAGUAAAUACAGAUGGUAUUUUAUUUUUCAUCAUUGGGUACACCAAGUAAUAAGCUUGUGUCUUCCUAUUUACCACUAUGCUCUGUGUUACUGAAUUUUUUCUUUUGUUUUAAAUGUAACUCCACCUAAAUCGUGUUGCAGCAAAAAUGUCAAGGAAACCAAAGCAAUAGGCAAGAUCAUCUUCUUGCCAAAUACAAAUAAUGGCCUUAAGAAAAGAAAUCCUGGAAGGUGACUUCAGUAUCUUCUUAAACAUUUUCAAGUCCCAGUGCAGUGAAUGAGACUUGAGAAUAUCUCAACUUGAAACCAGUGGAAGGUAGAAACAGAAGACGAAAAUGUUGCUCUAAGAUUAUUUAAUAACUGUUGUGCAUGUAAUCUCAAAUCUCACAUCUGAAAAUAACCCUUUUCUUAAGAAUUCAGACUGCGCUCACUUGUUUAAUACAGGAGGGAAUGGGAGCUAAUCUUUCCCUCUUUCCUUUGUUUAUCUUUUUCACCAACAGUUUGAGCAAAGAAAAAGCCAAUGACCAAUGCAUUCUCAUAUCAACAGGUCUGAAGCCAAACUGAUGCAAGAUUGGGGAUUUGAAAAUACCACAUACAACCAGAGCUUUUUUGCUCCUGCAGGGAUCCUAACAAGGUAGUGUCUGUAGAAACGUAAUGAUUUGCAAGUAAUAAUCUGACUGUCAUUUCAAACCUAAAAUUUUGCUUCCCUAACAUAUCUGCAUAAUUUUUUACCAGUUCUGAAAUCUAUUGUUAUUAUUAAGACAAUGGCCUGUUAGAAAGAAAAUAUUCUUCUGUAACUUCUAUAAUUAUACUAAUAGACUCUAUAAACUAACUUUCAUACACUAAAGUUUUAUUUAUUUUUUUAUUAAUUUCACCUUAUUCAUUCAUUCACUUUAGUUUUAUGCUAAAAAAUGGAGGAAACAGCAACAGUCAGUUGGUCUAAAGUUGUAAGGUACACUGUAAUUCCGGCCACAGCAAAUUUAAAUGAACAUAAAUUAAUUACUUAAAGAAAUGAUUAUUGACAUAAAAUCAGACCUUGUUUUUCCUGUUUCAUGAAUAAAAAUGAAAGUUCUGUAAGCAAGUGGCCUUUCUUCAUAAAGGGCUUAUAAAACACUUGUUCAUGUUAGCACCUUUUGAUGGAAAGACCUGUGAAUUUCAAAAAUAGCUUGCUCUUAAGAAUGAUGUGUUCUCUUAAAAAUUAAGCUUUUGAAAGUACUAGUGUUUUUUAAUAAUGACAGUGAUAACUACCUCAGAUGCAGAUUUAAUUUCUUUUAAAAAAUGCUCAGAUCAUAAUGUCUUCUAAACAAGUGUCAUGUACAGAAUAUAUGAAAGUUCUUGUAUAAGGUGGGUUAUCAUUCCUUUAUGUUGAAAAAAAUCAAGAAAAAAUGUUAAUGGGUAGGUUCUCUUAAAUCCUUUUUACACGAUGAGGAAAUACCUGAAAUUUUCCCUAGUAAAAUCAGUGAAACAGCAAGAUCAUGGUAAUGGACACACCGAUAAAGUCUGAAUGUACUUACACGUUGGCUAGUUGAGAUUUCUUGUAAUAAUUAAAAGAAUAAUUAUAUGUGGAUAGAAAGUUGCAGCCAGGAAUAUUCAACAAUUCCAACAGACUCUCUUUCAUUACAUUUUAUGAGAUUUCUCUGGUAGUGCUGCCUAUACCCUGUGACAUGGAGCAUUUGAAUGAAAAAGCAAUUUGUAAUUAUACUAAAAUUUAAAGCUUUUUCACUCGGUAUUUCCUCCUGAUGCCCUGAUAAUGUUGAAAAUGUGAUUCCUCCAUUUUGUCACAAAUUAGGCAGGUUAUCUCUGAAUUGAGCUUUAAGGAAGUUAGGCCCUGAUUGUUGUGAUUCAGUAGAAGUCUUCUAUAUGAAUCAACAUUGAUUUAGUGGUCCGGUAUAACUUUGGGGAAUAGUUGUACAAGUAAAAAUCCAUGAAAUGUUAUCAGUCCAUUGUUUUACUCUGGCAGUUCCUAGCACAAGAGACACUGUAAAUCUUUUCAGUAGGUAGGACUGAAGAAGUCUUUUAUUGUAGAACGGACUUUAAGAGAGCUAAGGAACAUCACUGAUGCAAAAAUGACAAAGCAAGGUAAAGACAGUGGGGGAUGCAUUACUGCCACUCCAUUAUUUACUGCACUUCCAUUUCUCUAUUCUACAUCUCUCCUUCUUUCUCAUCAAUUAUACGCAUCCUGGCUAGGGAGAAGAUAAUGAAGAAGGGUGUCCCUUAUUUUUUUUCUUUCCUCUCCUUACUUCUUAGCCACCAGUGAAACAUUUUUCAUUUUUCCUGUCUUGUCACUUCUCUUUGC